GACGGGUGAGUAACGCGUGAGGAACCUGCCUCAANAGGGGGACAACAGUUGGAAACGACUGCUAAUACCGCAUAAGCCCACGGCUCGGCAUCGAGCAGAGGGAAAAGGAGCAAUCCGCUUUGAGAUGGCCUCGCGUCCGAUUAGCUAGUUGGUGAGGUAACGGCCCACCAAGGCGACGAUCGGUAGCCGGACUGAGAGGUUGAACGGCCACAUUGGGACUGAGACACGGCCCAGACUCCUACGGGAGGCAGCAUG
rnacentral:rRNA from 1 species